rnacentral:rRNA from 1 species
UACAGAGGGUGCAAGCGUUGUUCGGAAUUAUUGGGCGUAAAGCGCGUGUAGGCGGCUUUGCAAGUCGGGUGUGAAAGCCCUCGGCUCAACCGAGGAAGUGCGCCCGAAACUGCAGAGCUUGAGUACCGGAGAGGAUGGCGGAAUUCCCCAAGUAGAGGUGAAAUUCGUAGAUAUGGGGAGGAACACCGGUGGCGAAGGCGGCCAUCUGGACGGAUACUGACGCUGAGGAGCGAAAGCGUGGGGAGCAAGCAGG